ACUCCCAUUUUAGUACCAUUCCUUCAGUUCACCAGGGUGAGUGGCUAUGCUAAUGGGAGAGAGCAAUCUUGUCAUUGUCUGAAGGAGAGCUUGGCAACAUAACCCAGCUUUCCUACAUGAAAUGGCAAAACACUUAAAG